rnacentral:lncRNA from 1 species
UCCAGUCCAACUGGUUGAUACACCUGGGUUUUACUCAUGAUACCUGAGUUCGAACCCAUCUUGAGGCAGUUUAUUCCCCUCUGAGGUCACUAGUACACAAGGCUUUUGUUGGUGCGAUGCAGUUUAUAUUGAUGGUGCGGUUCACUCAAACACCGCACCUUUACAUCUUGCUUUACAAAUUCCACCAACUUUAAAUCUUCCAUUUACAUUUUCCCCCCUUUUGUUGCCCUGUUCCCGCUUGUUUCCAUUUACGUUUUCCCUCCCUCAUGAAUUUCUCACUCUCACAAACCCUAAUCGAACCCCAACCCUCUCUAUUACAUCCAUCUGGUUCCCUUUAGCACCUCUCACUACGGAUACCUUCCAGUGCACCAUCGUUGCCCUCUAUUGCACCGUCGUUUCCCUUUAGUUCAGCGCAUCUCUACUGUCCGUUGUGUCCAGUUGUCCACUAAGUUCAUAUGAGUUGAGUUGGAAAUGGUGAAGAUUCAUGUACUUGCAAAGGAUAAAAGUUGGAACUGUUGAAUGCGCUUCAGGUUAUAGUUAAGACACUUCGAAUGCUUUACAUAUACCGUCUUUUUUGCUUCUGUUUUGGUUUUUUUUCUCCACAAUUUAGUUGGUCUGAUUUGGCAUUUAGU